AGUGUUGAAGUAUUUAUUUGUACCAGCCCACUUAUUGGAAAUUACAGAUACUGUGUCAGAGAGAAAUAUGAAUGGGUUGAAAAUCACUUUGGUAGUGACUGGUCAAGUAAAAUAAUAAUGACCACAGACAAAACAGUGAUCAAUGGUCAUCUUCUUAUUGAUGAUAGACCACAUAUAAGAGGUGCAAUGAAACAUCCAUCAUGGAAACAUAUUCUGUUUAGUGCCUGUCACAACAAUAAGAUGACAUUUCCUGAAAGCAAGAGACAACUUGAGAAUUGGUUAAAUGGUGAAUGGAGGGGGCUGAUUAGUGAGUUUAAGAAGAAACAUCAAAUUGAAUGAAAGACAGUGACAAAGGAAAUUUUGUGUGUGUGUGUGUGUGAGAGAGAGAGAGAGAGAGAGAGAGAGAGAGAUAAGGUGGGGAGAAGUUGAAUGAAAGAGGGAGAAUUUGUUAGAAUAUUGUAUUUUUUUAUAGAUUAUAUUAACAUUUCCAUGUAAGAAUUCUGGUAAGAAUUUUGGGCAUUUAUUUACUGCUGGGGCAAUUAUAAUUUUACAUUGUUUUGCUUCUACUAACCAGUAAGCUGUGAAAAAAUAGUGAACCAUGUGUGUCAGCCAGGUAGACUGAGAAUGAUGAACUAUCUGGCUCCUUUAGAGAACACAGAACAAAACGCAACGCCUGUACUUUAAUUUGUACUCAUGAUCUUGUUUAUACUAAUGAAUGGUUAUAUUUUUUCUUUUUAAGAUGUAAACAAUACAUAUUUUAUUUAUUGAAAAUUUAGAUAGUUUAAUCAUUACAAAUAUAAUACAAAACCACAUUAAAAUACAAAUCCAAGAAAACACAAACAUGAGUGAAGAAAGAAAGAAAAAAGAAGAGGAAAAAGAAGAAAGAAAAAAAACAUAAAUUCAACACCAAGUACUUCAAUUGGUUGCACACCACAAGUUCGGUGGAACCCAUUGAAGCAAGCCAACAUGCUCUCGAUAUUACCAGGUUUAAGCAUUGGAAGAAUCUGGCGCUGGUCUUGAGUAAAUAAUUUCACUGUUGUUUGAUAAUGACGAUGGUAAGUUAUGAGACAAAAGUCAAUCUGAAAACCAGGUACAAAGAUUUGUUUAGAAUGUAAGAAUACAUGAUUUACCAAAAAUCUAGGAUUAAUGACUGUGAAAACAUAAAAAAAACAAGUAAAAGAAACAAACUUUAACAAACAAAACACUCUGGAAUAAACAAAAUAAAGUAAACAAAUAAUAGUUGAUUGAAUAUGUAAACAUGGCUGUGGUAGUUAAGAGGUUUGUUUCCCAGUCAAAUGGUCAGAGUUCAAUUCUAUUGUGUAGCACCUUGGGCAAGUAUCUUCUACUAUAUGUCCUUAGAUAAUCUUAUUUUAUAAUUAUGAAAAUUACACUGGCUAAAAAUUCAUUCUGACUGCUUUUUCUAUAUGUAAAAUUCUAUGACAACCAAUCAAUCAAUCAAGUUUGAGUAGAUUGUACCACAAUGUCUAUUAGACUAAACAUGCCCUUACCUACAAAGAUCAGUCCCUACACCACUACCCAUCUAGCAUGUAAAUUAACUUUGGGAAAUUAUAUCAUAAUUUCUUGAAAUUAUGCACACUUAUGCUUUGGAAGCAUUAACAAUUGCUGCUAGUUUUUCUUUUUGUUCUAAGUGGUAAAUUUCAAUUUUGUGUUUGUCAUCCUUUAACUUAAUUAUCAAAAGUGAUGCUUUUAGCCCAUUUAACUUACUUCCCUUGGUGCAUUCUAUUUAUUUAUUAUAUUUGUCUUCUGCUGUAGCCUUAAGCUGGCUAAUAUUUUGUGAGCAUAAUCUGUUUGACAGAUACUGUGUGGAAACCACUGAAACACCACUAGUCACAAUGUAUUUCCAAUUCUUUCUCGAUUGAACCCUUCUUUUCCACCUUGGCCCAAAUCAUUUAACUAAAUAAUCUUCUUGUGGAGGCCUUUGAAGUGGCCUUUUCUGAUCUCUUAGAUACUACAUGGCAAUGACUCAAGUCUAUUUGUUGUUUGUGAACCUUGCAACAUACCUAGCCCCAGCAGCCCUUGUGUUUUCAGUAUUUUGUGAUUACAUCAAAUCAAUCACGUUGCUCUGUUCAUAAAUUGUGUCAUUUCAGAUAUGCUCUUGCAGUAAUAUUCCUUGCAUAAGUCUUUCCAUGGCCCUUUGUGUCAUAGUCAAUCAAUAUUCUCCUCUCUUCAUUGUAGCCCAUAUGUCACUUGCAUAAGAUGGCAGGUAGGACAAUGUUGUUGAAGAGCCUGGCAUGUAGGGUCUUCCCAGGCAAAUGUCUUCUAUCCUGCCCUCAUUCUUGAUAAAAUUUCACUAGAUUUCAGUAUUCAUGUCUCGGUGCAUAUUCACUGUGUGCCCAAAGUAGGUGUACUUCUUAACAUUCUUGAUUUGAUUGCUCUCCACCUCUAUUUGUCCUUGUGCUAUAUUUUCGGACUGCAUAUAUAUUGUUUUCAUGUGGUUCAUUCAAAGGCUUACUGUGGAUGUCCAGCUCUAUCUACAUGUUCUGUAGCUGAUCUGUGGGUUUGAUGAUGAAUAUGAUGUCAUUUGUGAAUUGGAGAUGUGUUAGUAGCUUGCCAUUGAUGUUCAAACUACCUGUCCUGUCAAUGUCUUUGAUGAUCAUUUCUAGACAUGUAAAGAACUUUGCAGUGAUGGUAUCUCCUUGUUUGAUGUCUUUCUCAACUGGAAAUCUUACUGGUGGCAUGGCAAUAGCAGAACUAUGUUGAUGGUGCACCCAGUGUUUGCAUCCCUGAGUAGUUUGGUGUAUUACACCUUGACUUCUUGAAUAUCCAGAGAUAGCAGCACUUUGUUUAUCUCAACAUGUCAAAAGCCUUUUUUUAUUUGAUGAAAGUGAUGCACAGAGGCAGCUUGUAUUCUUAUGCUUGGGGAUAUGUGACUAUCAUACUGUAGUGCUUAUGGAAACCUACUUGCUCCCUUAGCUUGGCCAUAGAGAUAUUUCAGUAGUCUGGUGACCAUGGCCUCUGUAAACAGCUUAUUGAGGAGACAACAGAUAUAUGGAGUGAUAGUUUCUUAGAUCUUCUUAUGAUGAUAUUCAACUCCUUCCACAACAGGUUUAUUUUACCCACUGUCAGAUAGCAAUUGAAGCAUAGGACAAGGUUUUUCUACUACCUUUCUAUUCCACUCCAAUUGACCCACUGAAUACUGAGGCUCAUUUGUUCACAUUGAUUUAGCUUUCAAGUGAUGCUACCCCGCUGGUUAGGUAAGCAGACAAUGAUUACCUUCAUACUUUAGCUAGCUUUCAGCCUCUAGUGAACAGACUAUGAGUCCACUUCAAUGAGACGAUCUUUCUAUACGGUCAGUACUCUGGUACCUUUAUAGUAUUGUUGGAUCUGUAGUACAUAUACCUUGCUACAACAGCUACCAAACAACCAUUGUCGCACCACUAUGAGGCACUGAAGUCAGGUUUUGCAAUAAAUAUAUAUAUAUCAUCUUUUUGUUGAUGUAUGUGGUGAAAAAUGUUAACAUAUUGAGGAAAUCACUCAACCAGAGCAUUCAAAUAAAAAUACUUUACAAUAUUUUAUACCAUAUAAGUGACACUCACACUUCCUUGCCAGUCUCAAUUUUAUGCAGUGAACCAGUGGAAUGAUUCAAAUGGAUCAAUCACUGGUUCACUGGAAUCCUAUAAUCAUUGCUAAUGUUCUUCACCAAAAUGUAAGAUAUAAUACACAUGUUUAUAUAUAUAAAAUGAAUAACAAAUUUUCAAUGACAUUUACAGUGUAAAAACUUGAUAAUUAAAAAUUCCAUAAUUAACAAUCAAAUAUAUUUUAGAUACAAAAUUAAUGUUCAAAAUGUUUAGAAAUCUUUGGUUUACCAAUAUAUUUUUGUGUUUCAUAUUUUCUUCAGAGAAUAAUCGAAUAAUUUUAAAAUAUCAAAAAUCAUUUUUUACCUGUUUUUUGUUGAAAUCACAAAAAAUGUUUAUGUUCCUUUCCAUCCACUCUGUACUCUUUAGUAAGAGAGAGAAAUCAGUGAGAUCUCUUUGAAAAUCAUUUGACCACCUCCAGUGACAUGUGGUUAUUAUCAUUGAGUUAUCGCCAUUGUGUUAACUUUCUAAUCCUGCUGCUCUGGUAUAAAUACUACUAAAAAAUAAACAUGAUGUAAUUGUUGUUUCUGAAUGUGUACUAUCAGAUUUGAAAACAAAUUAUGACCUCAUUAUUUUAUGAUAUUGCAACAACAUAGUUUAAAAGAAAAUAUAGUAACAUGAAGGGCAUUAAGCUGUAAAACAAUGCCUCAAUAAUAUAUUAAUUUAAUCCAUGUUGGCAUAGAAAUUUGAAUAUAAAAAUGAAUAAAAAUCAGUUUCAGAUAAUGAAUUUUUAAUAUAUGUAUAUAUAUAUAUAUAUAUAUAUAUAUAUAUAUAUAUAUAUAUACAUGCUGCUUAACAAAUACAUGAUGUGUUACAGUGGACUGUUGCUCACUCUUUAGUGCCAAUCUCCCUUUAUUAGCUGCCAGUGGUACAGUCAACUGGACUGUACAAUGGUAUUUUAGUAUAACUGCAACAAUAGUUCAUAACGGGACAAAAAAUUAGUUUCCCAUUAUGAUUCAUGAUUAUAUUAUACAGUGAGCUUAAUAUUUCUGAAGGAUUACUAUCUUUGGCAGCAGAAACCUAACACAAUCAGAAUAUAUACCCCUGAUCAAGAGUUUAUUCUUAUAUUUCAACCGUUGUUCCUAUUUCCUGUAUCCUAGUUUUAUAGAGCAAUAUCUGUAUUUCAGUUCAGACAGCAAACCAGAAAGUAAUUUUCUCCUGGAUUUUAUCCCCAAACCAGUAAUUUCUUUUGAGAAAUUUGUAAAGCCAACGUUCUAUAAAACUAGUAUAUAACCCAUGGAAUUGAUCUCUUCCUAACCUUAACAUAUUUGGCAGAAUUGUAAGUCUUGGAAAAAAUAUUUUCUGGAUAUUCUUUUGAUUCUUUAUGUUCUGGGUUCAUAUACCAGCAAGGUCAACUUUACCUUUCAUUCUCCUGGGGUCAAGAAAAAGAACCAGUCAAGUCUUGAACUAAUGGAAUUUGCUCACUCCCUCUCUUUAAAAAUUGUUCUGUGCCUUAAGUAGAAAUCAAUGUUUUGUUGAGAUGUGGAGGGAGUAAUAUAGUUAAUUAAAUUGAUUGGCUCCAUCUAGUAUAUUACUGGUACUAGUUUGAUUAAUUUCUGAAAGAUAAAAUGUAAUGUCAACUUGGGUGGAUUUGAAUUAUAUUGAAGGUUGAAAUGAAGUAUUGUUGAUUGCUUAGUCCAAUUGUGUUCUAAGGCUUCUGAAAACUCUCGGUAGGAUUUAAGCCAUCAUUUAAAAUCCUCGCAUUAAUAAUGUAAAAAUGGCUGAGAAAACAAUUAAAAAUAAAAACAGGAGCUACUGAAAGCAAAUGAGAACAUUCUAGAAAACUGUCUUUGAGAGGUGCAGUAAGAUUAUUAAUCUGGUUGACAACUUUCUUUUAUGUUCUUGGACCCCCACUCACCUGUCAAUGACAAAAACUCUCAAAUUCCUCUACAGUAUAGCAUUCUUCUGGUAAAAGAUAUAAUGUGAAAAGACAAUUUAUUUUGAAACAAGAAUAUAUUUAAUGCUAAUGUAUUUAAUAUCAAUAUUAAUGUUUGAAAAAAUAAAGUCAAAUCAACAAUAACAAA